rnacentral:ncRNA from 2 species
UUUAGAGAUAGAGGCGCAAGGUUUAAAAGUAUCUUCAUGGAGAUAAGCACGUAGAAGUGAAGAGAAAGGAAACAUUGCCGAAGUGUGUAGUUAAUGCUUUAAAACUAUACAACUGGUCUUAUAUAGAAUAUAUAUAAGAUUGUCACAAAUAAUGUUUGUGGAGAGCUAUCCAAUGG